GUUCGCACUAUUAAAUGAGCAACAGGCUGUUUGCCACACGUAGGGCAGAAUCUUUUUGCCCUUCCAGAGCACCUGAUAUCACCCCGAGUUAUUGGAGAAGUUUAUGUUGCUCAGUCUUUUAUUUUUCUAUGUUGUGUUUAAUGUACUAUUCUGUUUGGUCUUCUUUUUGAGCCAAGGUGUUGUCAGUUUAUUCUAGACUUUGCGAGUUUGAAUGUCCCUUUAGUCUUGUUUGCCUCUCUCUCUCAGUAACUGGGAGUACUGUGUAUUUGUAAUGUUUAUGUUUCUCUCUUUGUACUGAUCUGUAGAGUCAACCCCUCGCCUCAUUAUGUAUGUGUUUGUCCCAAAGUCAGUAACUGGGAGUACUGUGUAUUUGUAAUGUUUAUGUUUCUUUCUUUGUAUUGAUCUGUAGAGUCAACCCCUCGCCACAUUAUGUGUGUGUUUGUCCCAAGUCAGUAACUGGGAGUACUGUGUAUUUGUAAUGUUUAUGUUUCUUUCUUUGUAUUGAUCUGUAGAGUCUACCCCUCGCCACAUUCUGUAUGUGUUUGUCCCAAGUCAGUAACUGGGAGUACUGUGUAUUUGUAAUGUUUAUGUUUCUCUCUUUGUAUUGAUCUGUUAGAGUUUAUGUUUCUUUCUUUGUAUUGAUCUGUAGAGUC
rnacentral:lncRNA from 1 species